GAGAUUGGUGUGAUCUUGCUAAAGACACUGGAAACUUUGUGAUUGGCCAGAUUCUUUCUGAUCAAAGCCGGGACACUAUAGUGGAAAACAUUCAGAAGAGGCUGAUAGAAAUUGGAGAAAAUGUGCUAAAUGGCAGUGUCCCAGUGAGCCAGUUUGAAAUUAACAAGGCAUUGACAAAGGAUCCCCAGGAUUACCCUGAUAAAAAAAGCCUACCUCAUGUACAUGUUGCCCUCUGGAUAAAUUCUCAAGGAGGCAGAAAGGUGAAAGCUGGAGAUACUGUGUCAUAUGUCAUCUGUCAGGAUGGAUCAAACCUCACUGCAAGUCAGAGGGCCUAUGCGCCUGAGCAGCUGCAGAAACAGGAUAAUCUAACCAUUGACACCCAGUACUACCUGGCCCAGCAGAUCCACCCAGUCGUGGCUCGGAUCUGUGAACCAAUAGACGGAAUUGAUGCUGUCCUCAUUGCAACGUGGUUGGGACUUGACCCCACCCAAUUUAGAGUUCAUCAUUAUCAUAAAGAUGAAGAGAAUGAUGCUCUACUUGGUGGCCCAGCACAGCUCACUGAUGAAGAGAAAUACAGGGACUGUGAAAGAUUCAAAUGUCCAUGCCCUACAUGUGGAACUGAGAAUAUUUAUGAUAAUGUCUUUGAUGGUUCGGUUAGUUGUUUCUGUCUUUCAUUUUGUGAGUGAACUUGUAUAAAGGCCUUACCCCCUUCCCCCACUAUGGGGUAUAUAAAAAGGGCGAAAUAAACACACACAUGUUGCUUUCAUGUGUUUAAAGAAUUUUAGCAUCAUGUGAAAUCUACCUUC
rnacentral:sRNA from 1 species